GGACUACAAGGGUAUCUAAUCCCGUUUGCUCCCCUGGCUUUCGUGUCUCAGUGUCAGCACACCCCCAGCUACCUGUUUUCACCAUUGGCGUUCCUAACGAUAUCUACGCAUUUCACCGCUCCACCGUUAGUUCCGGUAGCCCCUGAGUGGCUCAAGACACCCAGUAUGCCAAGCAAUUCCACGGUUAAGCCGUGGGAUUUCACAAGGCACUUAGGCAUCCACCUACACACGCUUUAAGCCCAGUGAUUCCGCCUAACGCUUGAGGCCUCUGUAUUACCGCGGCUGCUGGCAC
rnacentral:rRNA from 1 species